ACCAUUGGGAAGGGCACCUCGCGAGGACACCAGCAGCCUGCUCACACUCUGCCCAGCAGCUCCCAAACGCAGCCGGGAGCAGCACCUGGGGCUGCGCUGGCAGCAGCAGCUCAGGGAAACACUUUAACAUGGAUCCCAGACCCACCACAGGGCCAAAGGUUCCUGCACCCAAACCCCACCCAGCCGCCCCGGCCCAGCUGCUCGGGGCAGGCUGCCACAUCUGGCUGCAGGGCAGCUGCCCGCUCUAGCCCAGGUCACUCUGUCCCCUGCUCACGGCCCCACCAGCCCCUGCUGCAGCUCGUGCAGGAAAGCAGCCCCAUCGCCAGCACUGCUGCCGCCGCCCCGGUGCGAGGGCACCCGCCGGCAGUUGAAUGUGCCCGCAGCCCCCACCAAACCCACUCGCACCCGCUCUCUCUCCCGCUUGCUUCUUGCCUGCUUUUCUCCUGCUCUUCCUUCACGUCUUUUUUCUCCUUCCACAUGUUGGACUCCAACUGGCUGUCAGAGCCAUCAGUGAAAUCGUGCCCGCCCUCCUCCUCCUGCCAGCCAAUAGGAGGGCUGCACUGGGGCAAUGCCAUGGCAACGUUGGGCCCUCCUGCCCUGGUGACUUGCUCUGCCCCCUCAGCCUGCAGUUGGGCACCAUGUUGUGGGUGGCAGUGCGGGUUGUGGCAGGGCCUGGUGGCAGCACGGCGCUGUGUGGCCAGGCAGUGUGGGGCCCCGUGGUGUGGCCGCUGCCCCGGCAAGGCUGGGCUUGGCCACAGGGUCCCCAUGGGGCUGCUGGCUGCCCAGCGCCCUGGGGACUGUGGGUGGCGUGGGGGGCAGUGGUGCCUCCAACAGUGAACCCUCUCAUCUACAGCAUGAGGAACAAGGAGCUCAAGGACGCACUGAAGAAACUGGUUCAACUGCUACUACUUCAGCAGCAAUAAGCUGCCCAUCUCUCCUCGCAAGGGAUUUCCAAUUUACCUCAGGCAACUCUUSUGCUUUGGGCAUUCUAUCUGUGAUAAUUCUGUUUGUAAAUGGUUGAAUUCAUCCCACUUCUCCAGCAGCGCAAAGCCCAUCUGUCUGACCUAGAAGCCUUCCAUAAAUCUGCAUAGCACUGUGUCAGGGCUGGCCUCUCAGCCAGCAUCUCUGUAAUAAAAGGGGAUUUCCUGUGGACA
rnacentral:lncRNA from 1 species